rnacentral:rRNA from 1 species
ACGAACGCUGGCGGCGUGCCUAAUACAUGCAAGUCGAGCGAGCGGAACUAACAGAUUUACUUCGGUAAUGACGUUAGGAAAGCGAGCGGCGGAUGGGUGAGUAACACGUGGGGAACCUGCCCCAUAGUCUGGGAUACCACUUGGAAACAGGUGCUAAUACCGGAUAAGAAAGCAGAUCGCAUGAUCAGCUUUUAAAAGGCGGCGUAAGCUGUCGCUAUGGGAUGGCCCCGCGGUGCAUUAGCUAGUUGGUAAGGUAAAGGCUUACCAAGGCGAUGAUGCAUAGCCGAGUUGAGAGACUGAUCGGCCACAUUGGGACUGAGACACGGCCCAAACUCCUACGGGAGGCAGCAGUAGGGAAUCUUCCACAAUGGACGCAAGUCUGAUGGAGCAACGCCGCGUGAGUGAAGAAGGUUUUCGGAUCGUAAAGCUCUGUUGUUGGUGAAGAAGGAUAGAGGUAGUAACUGGCCUUUAUUUGACGGUAAUCAACCAGAAAGUCACGGCUAACUACGUGCCAGCAGCCGCGGUAAUACGUAGGUGGCAAGCGUUGUCCGGAUUUAUUGGGCGUAAAGCGAGCGCAGGCGGAAGAAUAAGUCUGAUGUGAAAGCCCUCGGCUUAACCGAGGAACUGCAUCGGAACUGUUUUUCUUGUGUGCAGAAGAGGAGAGUGGAACUCCAUGUGUAGCGGUGGAAUGCGUAGAUAUAUGGAAGAACACCAGUGGCGAAGGCGGCUCUCUGGUCUGCAACUGACGCUGAGGCUCGAAAGCAUGGGUAGCGAACAGGAUUAGAUACCCUGGUAGUCCAUGCCGUAAACGAUGAGUGCUAAGUGUUGGGAGGUUUCCGCCUCUCAGUGCUGCAGCUAACGCAUUAAGCACUCCGCCUGGGGAGUACGACCGCAAGGUUGAAACUCAAAGGAAUUGACGGGGGCCCGCACAAGCGGUGGAGCAUGUGGUUUAAUUCGAAGCAACGCGAAGAACCUUACCAGGUCUUGACAUCUAGUGCCAUUUGUAGAGAUACAAAGUUCCCUUCGGGGACGCUAAGACAGGUGGUGCAUGGCUGUCGUCAGCUCGUGUCGUGAGAUGUUGGGUUAAGUCCCGCAACGAGCGCAACCCUUGUUAUUAGUUGCCAGCAUUAAGUUGGGCACUCUAAUGAGACUGCCGGUGACAAACCGGAGGAAGGUGGGGAUGACGUCAAGUCAUCAUGCCCCUUAUGACCUGGGCUACACACGUGCUACAAUGGGCAGUACAACGAGAAGCGAGCCUGCGAAGGCAAGCGAAUCUCUGAAAGCUGUUCUCAGUUCGGACUGCAGUCUGCAACUCGACUGCACGAAGCUGGAAUCGCUAGUAAUCGCGGAUCAGCACGCCGCGGUGAAUACGUUCCCGGGCCUUGUACACACCGCCCGUCACACCAUGGGAGUCUGCAAUGCCCAAAGCCGGUGGCCUAACCUUCGGGAAGGAGCCGUCUAAGGCAGGGCAGAUGACUGGGGUGAAGUCGUAACAAGGUAACCGUA